rnacentral:tRNA from 2 species
GGCUUGCUGGUCUAGUGGUAUGAUUCUCGCUUUGGGUGCGAGAGGUCACGGGUUCGAUUCCCGUGCAAGCCC